AGCGAACGCUGGCGGCAGGCCUAACACAUGCAAGUCGAGCGCCGUAGCAAUACGGAGCGGCAGACGGGAGAGUAACACGUGGGAACGUACCCUUUGGUUCGGAACAACCCAGGGAAACUUGGGCUAAUACCGAAUAAGCCCUCACGGGGAAAGAUUUAUCGCCGAAGGAUCGGCCCGCGUCUGAUUAGCUAGUUGGUGGGGUAAUGGCCCACCAAGGCGACGAUCAGUAGCUGGUCUGAGAGGAUGAUCAGCCUCACUGGGACUGAGACACGGCCCAGACUCCUACGGGAGGCAGCCGUGGGGAAUAUUGGACGAUGGGCGCAAGCCUGAUCCAGCCAUGCCGCGUGGGUGAUGAAGGCCCUAGGGUUGUAAAGCCCUUUCGGCGGGGAAGAUAAUGACGGUACCCGCAGAAGAAGCCCCGGCUAACUUCGUGCCAGCAGCCGCAGUAA
rnacentral:rRNA from 1 species